GAACAUGUGAAAUGUAAUUACAUUUGGAAGAAUACAAGUUUGAUUUCAGAGCUCGGCAUUUCAUCUAGUACUGCAUGUAUUUCACACAUAUCAAAUCCCUUAAUAUGAAGGAAAUUAUAGUGUAUAUGCGUAUAUGGAAACCAAUAUUACACCCUUGGUAUAACAAGGAACAAUUAUAGUGUAUGUGGGUGUAUGGAAACCAAUAUUACACACUUGGUAUAACAAGGAACAAUAUCACAGAUAAGCUACCAUAAAAAUAUUUUUAUAUGAGUAUGUUUGUUUAAGUUUUCAGUAGUCAUCUUGUAAAAAGGGAGUUCACUGAAGUAAAAUGAGCAAAUAUUGAGAUGUGUACAUCAAUAUAUUAUACAUAAUGGAACAUUUAGCAAUUCAACUUGUAUGGAAGAUUAAUGCUUUGUAACUUGUGUUUCAUUCUUCUUUCCUUUUAGAGAGAUUUUUGAAAUGUGGGAAUAACAUUUUAAAACUGGAUAUUGUGUUUUCACUAUCCUGUUGCUAAAAUGAAACUGGGGAGUCUAGACAGAAACAUUAAGGCCAGCUGCAUCAGAAGUAUUUAUUUAACUUCUACAGUACUGUCAGCCUUAUGUCUGUUUUACUGGUGUAUGUCAACUUUUUGAUAAUGCAGAGAUUUUUUCCCAGCAAUUUCUCUGUUCUCUCCGUUUGAACUGCCUUUCCAAGGCAAGACCCCUCAUUUGGAUUGAAAAACUAGCCUGUCAUAUUAGAAAAGCGGUGUUACAAGGUUUGGUAUUAUGCCUUAGGGCCACCUCUAGAGAGAGACGGUAUCUCAUUGUUCCAGUUGAGGCAGCCUAGUAAGUGAGUGAGGUGUUACAUGGGUGCUCAUUCUCUCUCUUCCCUCAUCUGUUUUACCUGUUUGAUGCUGCAACAGUUCAGUGGGGGACAGGGAAAAAGCAAAAUUCUACACAAUCAGUUUGAAAUUACAGUGGUUCUGAGGGAGCUACUCUUAAUGGUCCCUUAUGAAGUAAAAGUCAGACAGGAGAGAUCAAGUGUUGUUACGAAGAACAUAAAGGUUCCUUGCCUACUGGUUACAUGCUCAUGGUGCUGGGCUGCCUCUGCACAAGAAUAGUAGGCAUCAAAUAUGUACACUGGUUCUAUUCAUCCUUAAAGUCUAAAAGUCUCUUUUAAAACCACAGUGUUUUAAUAUCAGCAUGUUUGAUUGAAUUCAGUUUUCACUGGACAAGAAGAUAGGUCUAUAAAUGUUGGUGCUUUUUUUAAUAUUUUGUUUUUAAAUCAAAAUAACUUUUUGUAGGAAGAGGUAAGGCUACUUCUAUUUAAGAAAGUAGGACAAUCUCUUUAUAAGACAGUCAUACAAAUUGUUACGUCUUGCUUUUUACAUGCAGAUACUGCCACUUAGUGGUUAGUCUUAAUUUGGAUUUCUGUGGGUUAAAGGCACAGCAGAAGUAACUGUUCAUAAAUUAAGGUCACAGUUCACAUCAAAGUACAUUUUUCAAUCUGGAAGAUGAAUCUAUUAGAGUAAAUGUGUUCAAAUGCAUUGUAGGACAUCAAAAACAAGUUACCACUGCUGCUUUUAAUUGGUUUUUUUUUUGCAUCACAUCUUGCUGGGUAGGGAGAGGUACAGAGCAGGGAUGAGGCGGAUCAAUUUGUGUUGAACUGAAUCAUAGAACCCUAUAGUAGUUUUUUGUCAUACCUGCUUCACCUAUUAGUGUACAACAGUUAAUAUAAAAUGCAGAACAUGAAGUUGAAAAGAGCACAGUAGUGACCUAUUCAAGUCCAAUUAUCUUUUUUUUACACCUACAUAGUAUUCACCCUACUAGCUGUAGUCAUUUUCAUGAUGCUGUUUUUGUCGCUGUAAAGAUACAGUCGUCAGCAGUUUAUCCAGUAAUGCACUUCAGUAAGUUAUUUUGUUUCACAGACUAUUUGAUCUAAAGCAUUAGAGAUGUUUUUGUCAUUUUUAUGCAUCACAAACAUCUGUACACAUUAACCUUACAGGUAUAUAUGUGUGUAUAUAAAUGUAUACGUAUAUAGUGCAUAUGAGUUGUGAAAAUAAAACACAAACUAUGUAUGUUUUUGAAACAGCUAUGAGGAAGACUGCCACUUAGGAACAACAAAUGUUUUCCUAUAGAAACAUGACAUGUAAAAUAAAGCAUGGUCUGCAGAAGACCUUUAGUACAUUUGCAGAUUUUGUGAUACAUAUUAUUUCCUACAAAUGAUUCUAUAGUUGCUUAAUUGAGACUUCUCUGUAUGCAUUUUCCUUUCUUCCUGCUACCACGUGUGAAAAAGUGAAGCGUUCUCACCAGGUCCAUCUACUAUGGAGCUGCUCUUUAGAGAGAGCAACCAGCUUGAGCUCAUGUUCCUGCUGUGAGAAGCAGCCUGCACACCUGCUUUCUUAUUAGUAAAUUAUCUGAAGGGCUAGACUCAAAUUUAUUUAUUUAUUUUAUUUAUUUAUUUUUUUUUUUUUUAGAGAAAGAGGAAGGAGGAAAGCGAGGAGGUGUUCUUGUCUCCUCCUAUUCCUUCUAGAUAUGUCCUUCUGUUUAUCCUCGUUCCUUCCUUCUCAGCCAUAGUGUACUUUUAAAAAUUGUAAUUUUUUCUCCAAAGCAGUAUGUCUUUGCCUCAGCAGCUCUUUAUUUCUUUUCAUUUCCACCUUCAUGUUCCUGAACUGAAGAUUUAAUAACCUUUUCAGUUUCUUCUUUUAUCUUGAAAACCCAGAGCAGUGGAAUUUUUGUAGCAAUUUGAAGAAAGGAGUCUACUCUUAUUUUUUUCUUCAAAAUUUAUCUUCAAAAGGAUAAUCUGGAAUUUCAGAUGCAUAUGCAGCAGUCAUAAAAUAGUAAUAAUAAAACAAUACUUAAAACAA